rnacentral:misc_RNA from 1 species
AAAGUCGUAACAAGGUCUCCGUAGGUGAACCUGCGGAGGGAUCAUUAGUGAAUGGCCCUCUGGGCCUUCGAGCCCCACACCCACUGUGGAAGCGAGCCUGUGCUUUGGCGCCCAUUCUGGCGCCAUCCCGAUGCGGCCGACCCAUCUUGUGUCUGAAUCGACCUUGGGAGUUAAAAAAACUUUCAACAAAGGAUCUCUUGGCUCUC